UUAAUAUGGAAGGAUAACUCAGAUAGUUGCUCUGCUUGAGGUUAGUUAUGAGAAUUAACUAAUAUUUAUUAUGUGAGACAAUUGCAUUGUUCACAUUUGAUUUCCAUGCCUUGUCUUUGAUACAUAGCAAAUCUGUGCUAACCAGACCACAUGAACUUGGGCCAUAGAACUGUUUUAUAUUACCCUUCAUGGAACAAUGACCUAAAAAUAAAAAAAAGUUUUGGCAACAACAUUCUACAUUCCUUCACUGGCCUGAUAAGAUGAGUGGGAGAUCGCAGAGGGAGGGGGAUUACCCCAUCUUUGAAAAACAACAGUGAGAGCCAUUUUGUCAUUCCUUCCCGUCAAACAGCUGUUGUCGUCCAAUCAGAUUUCAGAUACGACUGCUUAAAUCAAGCACGAAGCUGUUCUGCCUGGGAAAAUAGUUUGUUUUGGUGCUCCCAUUGUAAUCACAGAAUUGUGACGGGAUUGGUUUAGUUCUGAUCGCUGCAUUAGGACACAAUCCCCUGCUCAGCGAGCGUCAGUUUGUCAUGGCAACAGUAAGCGGCGGUUCAGUUUGAGAAUCGGAGCCAGAUCAACCGCAGUUUGAACAAGUAAUAAAAAGAGGCCUUAAUUAUCCCUUGUCUCUCGGUUGUGCCAUGUCCAGGUGCUUUGUUUUGCAUUUGCAUUAAUCCAAAGGCAAGCCUGCUGUACUUAGCACAACGCGUGCCAGUUCUGAUUUAAUAAAAUACGACUGGAGCAAUAACUGUGAUUUAAUGCUGGCCUGCAGGCCUCAUGGAUCAAUCUCCCAUCUAAUCCAGAUUUGACUGGGAGCGGAGCGAUAGAAUCUCAUUCCGCGCUAAAGCCAAAACCGGCGAGUCUUACGGGAUUUAGUGUCGUCUUUUCCGGAGGAUCUGGACUUUUGAGAGAAACCACCUUGUUACUCAACAGAUGGGCACCAAGACAACAGAUGCCAGGUGUUUGGGUUCAUCACUAAUUCAUAUAAUUUGGAGCCCCCCCCCCCCCCUGCCCACAUAGUGAUGACGUGCUCAUGAUGGACUGCCUGCGGGGGCCUUCCCAGAAACCAUUGGCUUAGGAGAUGGUCCCGGUGUCUCAGACAGUAAUCGUCCCUGUCCAGACAGUGUGUUUUCUGUGAUAAUGGAGCGCGGCGGGUCAAUAGGCAUGCAUAAUGAAUGGAUGAGGAAGUGGGGUCCAUGUGCUGCUGAGAGCUCAUACAGGAAGGAAGGCCGUUAACGUCUCGAGAGCGGAGCCUGCGGGGAGAACUCCUCCCACGCUGGCGGCGAGCUGCGUUGGAGGCUGCUUCUGACUGUCACAUGGCACUAGUUAACCCAAACCAGAAACGAAACUUCUGCAAACUGACUCAGUGGCCCGUUAUCGCCACAAAGAAGAGUUGCUAUGACAAUGCCGUCACAUCUAAUAUGUCUUGCGAAGAGACCAGAGGAGAAAAGAACCAGGCCACGAAUCAGCCUCGCUGACUGUGACUACUCCCUUCUUCGUAAAUAAACAGGUCGUCUCUAUUAAAGAGCCGUGGCCUAGCGACCUGAACGUCAGUUUGUAGCUACAAAAAAUAACUGUCCUUGACCCUGCUGGCUUACUGAAGUCUCUAUGAACGAUAAGAGACCAUUUUACUGUGUACUGCGUGUCGUCUGAAAAUAUGAACUUCCCAUUUGCUUGGAUGCGGGACGAGGCCGCUGGUGCCCAGCGUCAGCCGCUUAGCGCCGGUGAGAGCCUCUGACCGGCUCGGCCCGCCGUCUCCCUCUCUGUGUUCCGUGGCCAAGGUCGCAGCUGACGCUGCAGAGGUCGUUCACGGACGGCACCCUGCGGCGCUGCCGGCCUGACCUCACCGCCGAGCGAGAGAGAGAGGCGGGGAGGACGCGUCAACAGCCAAUCCCGCUCAGGCUCUGCCGCAGCGCUCGCCCUCGCCGUGUCUGCGCCGCUGUUCUGCGGCCGUGACAUCGCACCGGGCGGCUGUGAUGUCAUACGGCACGUUACAUCAGCCUGGGCCGGAGAGAAAGAGAGGGAGGGGGGGCGCUUCACUCCUGAGCGAACGAUGCUGCUUCCACUUUCCCUCCAUUCGACCGAGUCCUGACGAGCAUUACGUCACCGCUGGACACAGGGCGACCGGUCCGCACUUUCACACAGGAGUCAUUAUACACGAUACCAACGCACUCCGCCAAUAACCAGACGCAGCACUGACACAGCCACCUCCACACAAUGCUGGGAUUGACCAUGAGAAGGCAACACUGACAUUGUGAUCGCUACAGAGACCACUGUCGCUACGCAGCACUAAAAGACUAUUGACUGCAUACAAAACUGGCGACACCAAUUGCUAUAUUAAUAUUUAUAUAUAUCUUACAGGAAAACUGAUUAUUAUGCACAACACUGACACAAGCAGAUUGCUACGCAAACUACUGAUGCGUGAUGAUCACACAGAACAGCGGUCACUGGACAGGCCCAUGGCUGGUCCCAGAACGUUCUGGAACAGGAAGAGAUCAAAGCAGGUUUCCACACAAUGCUCCUCCUGUGUUUAUCUCCCUCCCCUCUGCCAUUAAAAUCACUGCUCAGCUCCAACCCAGGAGGCAGGAUGUCUCUGACACAGCUGUUUCUCUCACAGUGAUCCCUUCAGGAGUCUCCUAACUUGCAUCGCAGCCGAGAGUCAGUUAGCUUCUUCAGCGAGAGAGUGUAGCGGAUGCACGCACGCAUGUGCACACACACACACACACACUCUCACACACACGCACUGCAUACUCACACCGUUCACACCAUACACACACACGCGUACUGCAUACUCACACUGUACACACCAUACACAUUCACACACACACACACACACUCUCUCACACACACACGCACUGCAUACUCGCACUGUACAAACCAUACACAAACACACACACACACACACACACAUUGUAUAUAUGUAUAUAUUCACUCUAUGACUACUUGAGGGCCACAGACUCUCCGUGAAAUAGGACUGGGUUAUGCUGAGCACUACAGCAUCUGUGUAUAUCGGUUUUCACGGUUAGUUUUUAUUGUAUAUUACGCAAUCGUCGGCACUUGCAUCUGCUUGAUUUAGGAAGGCUCGUACUCAGGUUUCUUACAGCUGGGUCCACAAACUGCUGUGGACCAGAGAGCGCGCAAUGUUAUCAGAGGUUGGAACAGCUAAAAGAAAGCAGAAAUAAGAAACACAAGUGUUCCAGGAAGUAGAUAAUGGCAUUUCCUGAAAUAAUUUGGCUUGGAAACGUAUCAAAGUCAUUUACAGCACAUCACAAAACGGCUGUUGAGUUAAAGCAUAAUUACACAGUUUUAUUUCACUUUGCUUGCCAAAAACAAAAUUAUAAUGAAAAAAUGUCAUUGUAGAUACCACAUUUUUUUAUUUAACAAAAAAAAACAACUGUAAACUGUCAAAUCUUUACUUGGAAAAAAAGCAAUGCAAAUUUGAAACAUUUGGCAGGGGGGAGUGCAGAGCAGCUAUUUCUCAAGCUUUCCCAUUUUAAGUUGGCUUUUAAAAGGUCAAUCUUUAACUGCAUUUUAAACUGCGACAAUGAGUAUCUUUCCUGUGCCGUUGAAAUGCAAAAGCAGGAAAUCAAACAGUUCAACUUCCUCCCAUCCGUUUCAGUGAGCAUUAGUAGACAGCGGCCUCUUGUGGCGGAGUGAAGCACUGCGGCCCGCGCACAUUUCCUGUGGUAAAAUUCCACUUCCACUUGGGUGAGAUGUCAGAGAGCGAGCUGGGCAGCACGAGGGGUGUGAGAGCGAGCUGUAACCGGCUGUGACCGAACGCCAGCUCGCGCGUUGAGAGAGUCCGUUUUGCCGCCAUCGCCAUAUUUUUUUUCUCGGUCAUCUUGCAGCGCGAGAGAUAAUUAAAUCUGUCAGAACAGCACACGGUGUGCUGUUCCAAUAAA